rnacentral:rRNA from 1 species
UACGGGGGGGGCAAGCGUUGUUCGGAAUUACUGGGCGUAAAGGGCUCGUAGGUGGCCAACUAAGUCAUACGUGAAAUCCCUCGGCUUAACCGGGGAACGGCGUCUGAUACUGGAUGGCUUGAGUUUGGGAGAGGGAUGCGGAAUUCCAGGUGUAGCGGUGAAAUGCGUAGAUAUCUGGAGGAACACCGGUGGCGAAGGCGGCAUCCUGGACCAAUACUGACACUGAGGAGCGAAAGCCAGGGGAGCAAACGGG